UACGGGGGGAGCAAGCGUUGUUCGGAUUUACUGGGCGUAAAGGGCGCGUAGGCGGUCAGCACAAGUCAGUUGUGAAAUCUCCGGGCUUAACUCGGAAAGGUCAACUGAUACUGUGCGACUAGAGUGCGGAAGGGGCAACUGGAAUUCUUGGUGUAGCGGUGAAAUGCGUAGAUAUCAAGAGGAACACCUGCGGCGAAGGCGGGUUGCUGGGCCGACACUGACGCUGAGGCACGAAGGCCAGGGGAGCAAACGGG
rnacentral:rRNA from 1 species